AUGGCUAGCGCAAGAGGGCAUAGUUUUAAGGUGCUUGGAUGUAGGUACAGAGGAGAUGUCAGGGGUAAGUUUUUUACAUAGAGAGUGGUGAGUGCGUGGAAUGGGCUGCCGGCAACGGUGGUGGAGGCGGAUAUGAUAGGGUCUUUUAAGAGACUGCUGGACGGGUACAAGGAGCUUAGAAAAAUAGAGGGCUAUGGGUGACCCUAGGUAAUUUCUAAGGUAAGGACAUGAUCAGCAUAGCUUUGUAGGCUGAAGGGCCUGUAUAGUGCUGUAGCUUUUCUAUGUUUCUAUGUUUCUAAAACUACACACAAAGACAGACAAACAACCAAUGUGCAAAAGAAGCCAAAGUGCGCGAAUACAAACAAGCAAGUAAUAGAUAAGUACUGAGAACAGGAGUUGUAGUGCCUUGGACAGUGAGUCCACAGGUUGUGGACUUAAUUCAGAGCUGAGGUGAGUGAAUGAUGAUUCAGGAGCCUGACGGUUGAAGGGUAAUAACUGGUCCUAAGCCUGGUGGUGUGGGCCUGUAUCUGCUUCCCAAUGGUAGCAGCGAGAAGUGAGCGUGGCCUGGAUGGUAGGGGUCCUUGUUGAUGGAUGCUGCUUUCCUGCGACAGUGCUCCUGAUAUCAUUUGUCAAGUCACUGCGAUAGCUGGUGUACAACAGCGUCUCAUAUUUAAAGAAUCCACCCACAAGCAUCUUUUACUCCUCGGAACUGGCGUGGAGACAGAUCAUCCUUAACCAGCAGGGACAGUCCGAGAAGAGUAUCUGAGUACACAGUGGAGAUUGGCUAAUGCUGGCACCUGCUAAAGGCUCUAUGUAUCCAAUAUGGGCGAAGACAGUAAAAAAAAUCUUCAAAACAAAGGCACAACAAAACAGCUCACCUUCCAUCACACCAUACAUUAAGAAAUCCCAAAAUAUCUGACAUACAAUGAAAUACUUGAAAGCUCCUGAUGGUGGAAUGCGAAGGAGGCAGACGCCCUUGGCUCUUUCACGGACUCUACAACUCACAUUCUCAUGCCGUCAUGGGAAAAGAUAUCCAGGUGGAAGAGAUUCGAGGAUAUUAUCAAAGUCUCCUGGAAGAUAAAGUGCAACAUCUUCACCCGUGUUAAAGUCUACAGAAAGUGGUGGAUAUAGCCGUGUUCAUCAGAGGCAAACCCUUCCCCAACGUUGAACACAGUCACAACAAGUGUUACCACGAGGAACCAGUAUUAAUCGUCGAGGCCUCCACAAUCCAGGCUGUGCAGUUUUCUCACUCUGGCUGGAGGUACAGAAGCUCUAGAUCACACACCAGCAGGUUCAGGAACAGUUAUUACCCUUCAACCAGCAGCCUCCUGAUCUGGCGUACUUAACUUCUCCCACCUCAACACUGACCUGGUUCCAUAACCUAUGGAUUCACCUUCAAGGACUUGACGACUCAUGUUUUCAGGAUUAUUUAUUUAUUUUUAUUUACACAGUUUGUCUCCUUUUGCACAUUGGUUGUCAGUCUCAGAUUAUGUAUGGUUUUCAUAAAUUCUCUUGGAUUUCUUUAUUUUCCUGUGAAUGCCUGCAAGAAAAUGAAUCUCAAGGUAGUGGACAGUGGCUU